CCGCAGGGCUCCGGAGCAGACGAGUCCCACGCAGGAAGGUGGCAAAGCGAACGGGGAUGUGAGGGCCACGGACGCGUCCCUACUGGGUGUCUCUCCGCCUCCCGCGGGAGCGCUGAGCCGCGCUCGAUUUGAGUAUACUGGAGAAGGGAGAAAACAGCAAUUUGGAAUCAUUCACAAUUUUGUGAUGUAUCCUUGUUGAACCACACAUCCAGGACCCAUCUCUCCAGUGUAGAGAGAGAUCAUUGGUCCUUGAAUUGUAAUAGUUUCCCCUCUAGGCGUUGCUUGUCAGAACUUUCCUGACUGUAGUCAGGCAUUGUUUCUAAUAUUGGAAUUUGCAUUGCUGGAAGAUUGGUCUCUGCCCUUUCUGGGUUUAGACUUAUUCCAUUUGCUUUUGCUGUAAUCUCACUUUCUGUACAUAGAGGAGUAGCCAUGAAAAGGAUAUUUAGACCCGUAAUAAGAAUCUUUUCUAAUGGGCUCAUCUGAUGGAACAACCAAGUAUCUAAUCACCUUUCAUAACAUCUUCACAUAUGAUUCAGUUGGGAGAAGAUUCUCUUGCUUUGCUUCAUUCUGCGAUUCACACUGAGAUUGAGAGUUCACCUUCCUCCUAUGAAGAUGAUCCUGACUUUCCUCUUUACUUCUUUUUUCUUCUUUUGGACUUAGAUUGAACAGAUUUCCUAUUCUUUCUUUCGUGAUACCCUAGAUGAGGAUGAAAAUGAAUUAAAUGAUGAUGAAGAUGAAGAAGAACCACCAAACACAUACACAACUCUGUUCUUUUUGUCGUACUUUUUCUUUCCAUGUAUGAAAACCUUCGGAGCAGAGCCUUUAGCUCUGGCGCCCUCUGGUGAUGAGUCAGAGGAAAAGCUAUCCCUAGAAGAACAGGCCAAUUUUUCUCCUAAGUUUCUAAGGUAAUUUCUUGAACCCUUUGCCCCAGUUUUUAAUUUUACUCCUUCAGGGAGGUGGGGAUUGGGAACCUGGGUCAGAUGAGGAGUCCUGAGAACCUCUUUGACUAGCAGGCCUUGAUCUCUUAAUCUUUUCCCUUUAGAUAGUGGAUAGAAUGUGUGUAAUGGGACACUGCUGCGCUGCCUGGGAGCUCAUAAGAUGGUGGGCUCUGAGGUAAAGGCACUUUUUGUGCCAAAUCCAAGCGCUCCCUAACCAAAGAGGGAAUUUCUUCCUGAGGGGAGAUUCCCUUCUUCUGCCCUCAUUUCAGAAUUCCUGACUUCCCCAGGGUCUAAGAUAGGAAAAUGAAUUACCCAACAAGGGCCGGGAAGUGACCUGUGCUGCAGGAGGAUGCAUGCCCCAGAUGGUCUAACCAUCCACCCCUUGCUCUGUCUAUGGUGGAUUUAACCCCUGUGGUAGGCCACUGCCCUUUGAUGUGACUGCCUCUGGUGGCCGAAGGGCUCUCUUCAUUUUUCUGCCCUCCUUUGAGGCAUUUGCAGCCCAGCUGUCACUCCCCGCUGGUGGGGAACUCCUGGGGAACAAUCUCCUGGGUUGGGGUCAGGAGGCCAAAGCUAAACCUUUCUGACCCAGCAGAUGAGGAGUCUGGAAUGCACAAGGCACAAACCUCUCCCCUUCUGCACCCUCAGGCAGGGAUACAGAGCAGGAGGAAGGCAGCCUCGGUCUCCUGUUUAGAUUCUUCUCCUCCAUCCUCUUAGCCUUUAUCUGAGCAGUCAGGGGAUGUGCGGGAGGCACUGUGAUAAUUCCAGGAAGAAGACAAACUACCUCUUCAGGUUUGUUUGUUUGUUUUCGGUGAAUUCUCUCUCUCUCUAGCAGGUGAUUCCCCCAUCCAGCCAGUAACUAUAGGAGGCAGAACAAAAGUGAGGGAGUUUCCAGAAGGUGGGGACUAGUCCCUCAUCCAAUCAGCUUUGAUUCUGCCCCCUGCAGCUACAGACAGGGGACAACUAGGGUUGCCAACAGUCCCAUAUUACAAGGGACGU